UAGCGGAGCGUGUGGUUUAAUUCGAUAUUACACGAAGAACCUUACCAGGGUUUGACAUGUAGGUGGUAGUGAAGCGAAAGCGGAACGACUCUUCGGAGAGCCUGCACAGGUGCUGCAUGGCUGUCGUCAGCUCGUGUCGUGAGAUGUUCGGUUAAGUCCGCUAACGAGCGCAACCCCUGCUGUGUGUUACAAGUGUCACACGGGACUGCCGGUCUUAAGCCGGAGGAAGGUGGGGAUGACGUCAAGUCAGCAUGGCCUUUAUAUCCUGGGCUACACACACGCUACAAUGGGUGGUACAACAGGUUGCGAAACCGCGAGGUGGAGCCAAUCCUUAAAGCCAUCCUCAGUUCAGAUUGUAGGCUGCAACUCGCCUGCAUGAAGAUGGAGUUGCUAGUAACCGCAUA
rnacentral:rRNA from 1 species